rnacentral:rRNA from 1 species
UGCCAGCAGCCGCGGUAAUACGAAGGGGGCUAGCGUUGUUCGGAAUCACUGGGCGUAAAGCGUGCGUAGGCGGAUCGACAAGUUGGGGGUGAAAUCCCGGGGCUUAACCCCGGAACUGCCCUCAAAACUGUCGAUCUAGAGACCGGGAGAGGUAAGCGGAAUUCCUAGUGUAGAGGUGAAAUUCGUAGAUAUUAGGAAGAACACCAGUGGCGAAGGCGGCUCACUGGCUCGAUACUGACGCUGGGGCGCGAAGGCGUGGGUAGCGAACGGGAUUAGAUA